rfam:Thecamonas trahens ATCC 50062 unplaced genomic scaffold supercont1.62, whole genome shotgun sequence.
GACGGCAUGGCGAAAUGGUAGCCGCGAUCGCUUGCUAAGCGUUUGCCCGAGAGGGCGUGCAGGUUCGAGUCCUGUUGCCGUCG